rnacentral:rRNA from 1 species
AUUGAACGCUGGCGGCAUGCCUUACGCAUGCAAGUCGAACGGUAACAGGUCUUCGGAUGCUGACGAGUGGCGAACGGGUGAGUAAUACAUCGGAACGUGCCCGAUCGUGGGGGAUAACGAGGCGAAAGCUUUGCUAAUACCGCAUACGAUCUACGGAUGAAAGCGGGGGAUCUUCGGACCUCGCGCGGACGGAGCGGCCGAUGGCAGAUUAGGUAGUUGGUGGGAUAAAAGCUUACCAAGCCGACGAUCUGUAGCUGGUCUGAGAGGAUGAUCAGCCACACUGGGACUGAGACACGGCCCAGACUCCUACGGGAGGCAGCAGUGGGGAAUUUUGGACAAUGGGCGAAAGCCUGAUCCAGCCAUGCCGCGUGCAGGAUGAAGGCCUUCGGGUUGUAAACUGCUUUUGUACGGAACGAAAAGCCUCUUUCUAAUAAAGAGGGGUCAUGACGGUACCGUAAGAAUAAGCACCGGCUAACUACGUG